AUUUCUCUGAGAUGUUUGCAAGCGGGCCAGUCCCCUGAGCCGAUAUUUCAUACCACAAGAAUGUGGCGCUCCGCGGUUGGUGAGCAUGCUCGGUUCGUCCGAGAAGCCUUAAAACUGUGACGACACAUUCACCUUGAACCAAUGGUUCAAGGGUUACAGCCUGCGGCGGCAUCUCGGAGAUUCC
rnacentral:other from 1 species